UUUAUCUUCAGUUGUGAUGUGAAUAUUGACGCUGAUCUACGAACCAUUGAGAUGCAUUAGCCAUGGUAGCUGUGAUGUCCCAUUACAUCCAACAGAGUCAGGCGUAACGGAAGCCGUUACUUCAGAGUUGCAUCAGGAUCACUUAAGGAAAACAGUAUCAUGUACAAGACGCAGCAGCUGCCAUGAGUAGGCAAGCUUUUAUUACAUAGACACUUCAUGUGUCGACUAAGCCUAAGUGACCAUGACGAUAGAUCGUCACCCAUUUCUAGUGCGAGCCUUCUAGACCAACCAUGGAGGGCAUCUACUCUUCAUAGACUUGAUUUCCAACAUCCUCAUAAUCAUACUCCACUUCAGAAUAACCACAGUCGUCAAGAUCACCAGACUCAUCAUAAGUACCAUUCUCUAGUGCCUCAGAGUUCUCAUAACUCCCUUGUUCUGAAAAAAAAACAUAAGUGCAGCUGAUUACGUAUAAAAUACGUAAUCCGCAAGUCGCAGGGAAAAGUCGAUGUAUGAGUUUUUUUAAAGAGGAAAAACUUUAUCGGCCAUGGCUACCACCACCGAGCCAUUAGCUCAAAAUACUUUGUAGGUAAAAAAAAUUAUUUUCCCUUAACCUAUUAUGUUGAAAAUUAAUUUUAUUUAUAAAAUCUACUAGCGACAGAGCGAUGUGGGAUCUUACAUCCUGUGUUAGAGGAAAACCCACACGACGCACUUCCAACCCCGAAAGCUGGGAGUGAUAUCACAUUUAUUCUGAUCAGAGGUGUACUGCUUUGCCCAUAGCAUCACUAGGUCCAAGUCGUUCAUGCGCUACUCGUGCGCACGACUAGACCAAGGAACCAGAACCUUUAACCAGCCCGUAGACUACCUCUGCUUUUCCACCUUGCCUUACUAUAGGCCCGCGGGUCUAGACCCCUGAACGGCGGUCCCACCCUAGGGUGACUGUACCUACCCGGGUACAACCACCUUCUCACUCAUGCAGAGGUAGCUACUUGGCAUGGGUAGUCGGUUCAGCCCGUCCCAUUCUAGGUCUAUGGUCAGUAUGGUUUGUGCCGCUUUUGACGUAAGCGCUAGUUGGUUGUGUCCUAAUGUAAUACCCUAUGUAGAGGAGUCUGCCAUCCAAGCCAACCCUAAACGGAUUGCCUUCACCAACAUGAGCUCCCCUAUCCACCAAAUUUUUAUUUAUAAUGUAACCCUGCCCGAGUCACGACUACUUAAUAUAGAUACUUCACCUGAUCUGGUCCAAUUGCCAAAUCAGUGGAUCCACCUGAUCCAAAUUUCAUUUUAUUUAUGAAAAAUAUUUAUUUUUAGUUUUUAUGCAAAAUUUUGAAAAUGACCCAUAGCCCGGAAAACAUUUAUCAAGACAUGAUCAAGGAGAUGACGACUUGCCGGGUAGCGCUCCGACCAACUCGGAACCACCAGAUGUGGGUCCUAUGCCUGAUAAUUAUUUCACAAAGAAGUUUAUAUUUUUCCCUAAUCAAGAUCCAAGCAUCAAGCAACACUUCCAUACGGUGCAAUCCAUUUUAAUUAAAGAGGUAAUGAUACAUGCUAGUGUGUAAUUAGAAGCAAAAUGCAUACAGCACAUCAAGAAGUACUCCCUCCGUUCCAAAAUAAUUGUCUUUCUAGUCAUCUCAAAUGGACUACAACAUACGGAUGUAUGUAGACAUGUUUUAGAGUGUAGAUUCACUUAUUUUGCUUAGUAUGUAGUCACUUGUUGAAAUCUCUAGAAAGACAAUUAUUUCGGAAACGGAGGGAGCAGUACGCACGUGCACAUCACAAAGAGGAAGCAAGCAAGCUCAAAAGGAAAAAACGUGUUUAGCUGGUCGAACCCAACCCCGGCAGAAAUAUCAUUUCUUUUUUCUCCAACUAGUCAUCUUCCCCAGCUCUCUACCUCUCUCUCUCUCACUGUCACUGGUAUGCUCAGCCACGAACAGAACCAACUCCAUCUCUCUCUCCCUAACUACAGAGCAGGUCGCCGCCGGCUCGAUCUGCCACUUCCGGACAUCUCCGGCGACACCGUGGACACCCACAGAAUCCCCUCGACUCCCUCUACCAUAUCCCCCCAUUUAUUUGAUCCGCCGCCGCCAAAAUCGCCGCCACCCUCAAACCCCAGCGUCGUCUGCAUCGGGUCCGAUGGGUUCACCACGGGCCGCAGUAGCAAUGGCAUAUCCCUGCCUACAACCUCCUCCAGCAGAGCUGCACGCACGAGGCAUGCAACUACGGCGUCGGGAGCGAGCAUCUUAACCGGCGCGGCUCCGGCAACAUGGCCGCUACCGGCGCCUGGCUCGCCUUUGUCUACUGCUACUAGUUAACUAGAGUCCAAAAGAUCAGGUGUUCAUGUUCUAAGCAAAGGUGAAGAUGGAUCAAGCAAACAAAGCUGCAAAAGCAAGGCACUUGAAUAGUACCUGAUGGCAACUCAGCAUCCGACCAAAAGAGUGGAUGGGGAUGGUGGGGAGAGCUUGGUUCUCUCUUGUGCGUGUUGUGUGCAGUAGAGGAAGUCAAAGGUGAAAGGAGGAGGCUGCUAUUUAUAGUAGUGUAGGGUGCUAGGUCGGUUUGGUAAAAGAGAGAUGUGGCUGACAUGCAUGGUUGCAUGAGCAUGCAAGCCUCCACAUGUAAUCAUGUGAGUUGUACAACGGACAAGUGUAUAGUGCAUGGUUCGACACGAGAUGGCAUAUAAUUUGUGUGUAAGGAAUGAGACAAGGGCCUAAUUAUAAAUCUGCAAACAAUAAAGGAGUUGGAGAAGAA